GAUGAACGCUAGCUACAGGCUUAACACAUGCAAGUCGCGGGGCAGCAUGGGGGUUGCUUGCAAUCCCCGAUGGCGACCGGCGCACGGGUGAGUAACGCGUAUCCAACCUGCCCUUCACCACGGGAUAACCCGGCGAAAGUCGGACUAAUACCGUAUGUUGUCCAUUGACGGCAUCCGAUUUGGACGAAAGGCUUGGCGGUGAGGGAUGGGGAUGCGUCCGAUUAGCCAGACGGCGGGGUAACGGCCCACCGUGGCUACGAUCGGUAGGGGUUCUGAGAGGAAGGCCCCCCACCCUGGAACGAGGCCCCGGCCCAGACCCCCAGGGGAGGCAGCAGUGGGGAAUUUUGGUAAAUGGGCGUAAGCCUGAACCAGCCAAGUAGCGGGCAGGAUGACGGCCCUAUGGGUUGUAAACUGCUUUUAUGGGGGGAAAAAGGGGCCCACUUGUGGGUUUUUGCAGGUACCGCAUGAAUAAGGACCGGCUAAUUCCGU
rnacentral:rRNA from 1 species